CUCACUUCCAACCAGCCCCGACUCCCUGGACCCCGUUUCCAUCUAUUUAGAUUUAACGAAUAAAAAGGAUACGCACGGAGGAGGGAAACAGAGGCAAGUGGUAGAUGACGAGCACAAAAGAAAUGGCGCAGUGCUAUGUGCGCAGAGGCCGAAGGAGGGGCAGCAGCUAAUGAAGGCUCCGCACAAGCCAGGAGAGAAGGAAGAAAAGAAUGACGGGUCAGGCGCGGUGCGAAGGGCUCUCCAAAGAGGAGCUCGUUUGAUCCUUACAGCAGCCCUGCAAGAGAAAGGUUAGGAAAGGGUGGUCAUGCCUGAAGGCUGAGAAGAUUCCGAGGCCCUCCUCUGGUUUCCUACCCACGUCUCUGAGGCAGGGCAAGCUGGCGGAGGAGCACAGAAGUAAUAAAUGCUGUGAGCCAGAACACACAUGUGCAUGAAUGAAUCCAGCACGCUGGGCCGACAGGGUCUUCUGGGUAUGUCAACCUGAUUAUCGGGCCUGUGCCCCGGAAGUCCCUUGGAGUGUUUUAUUCCUUCCCGAUCUGUCGCCUUGGUCCUUCUCACGGCUGUCCCUCACUAGAAGCCCCCCCUGUGGUCCUGAGCGCUUUCUCAUAGAAAGAGGAGAGUGGGCAGCUUUAAAUACAGAGCCCAGAGGGGCAGCAUCAGCUCUUUUAGUGAGAAGGGCAGGUCCUCACGCCCAGGCACUCGAUUAAGGAAAAAACAGUUUUCUUUCUACAAGCAGAGAUCUGUCUGCUCCCAGAAUCUGACCCCUGGAGGCUGCCUCUUCGGGGACACAGACUUGCCAGCCAGCUCAUUAGACAGAGAGAGUUGAAUCUCUCUUUUUAAACUCGCUUUCUCCAGCUAGCAGGAUCCAGGACUCAGCCCCAAAGCUCCAACUUAGUAUGGGAAGGGUCCCAAGAACUCCAGUCAUUAUCUGGUGGUCAACCUACUUUCCCACCCAAACCAUUUCAGAAUCUGGUGGGGCUGACCUGUGUUCUACCAAAUGGAAAGGCCUUUCUGGGUGUCCGAGCUCCUGGAGAGCAGGCAUGAUCUUUUCCCUCUCUUUUGCCCUUUGGUGAAGCUCAGAUCACCUAGAAUGGAGGGCAUCCAUGUGGGAGACACCUAGGACCUGCGCCCGGGAGAAGACAUUCUGUGUUUGCCUCCUAUUCGGAAGAGAACAGCCUUUUCCAUCAGGGGCAAAGCCAGAACAGGCUGAGUUUUUAAGACUAUCGCCAUAGGACACCAUUUUGUUUUCUGGAAGUGUUCAGUGGAGGAGGAGGCGUGAAGUUCUGGUUUACCCACAGCACAGACUGUCUUCACUGAGCUGUGGUGGGAGAGGGCUACCUUUCUCUUCCUUGACUUUGGGGUCUAUGGCCCAAGAAAGGGCCUUGGGGUUUGGGUCACUUUCAUUUAUCCUUUUAAGGUGCAAGUGGUGGAGUCUCCAGCCCUGGGAACCUGAGCCAUAGAGACCACGGAGGCAGGAUUCCUGGCUGGAUGUUGUAGCCCACCAGGCAGAGAAGUCCUAGAUACUAUGGUGCCAAGACAUAAACCCAAGGGGCUUUGGACCUGCAAGUUGGUGGGACCAUGGCUAUAGAGGAACUGAAUUAAGUUGUGAACUUAUCCCCAUCCCCUCCCCAGACUGAAACGGAAUGGGGCCAUGUUGGCAAACCUAUGGCACAUGUACCAGAGGGGGCUCUCCCAGAAUAUUUGUCCCAUCACCUGCCCCUCUGCCCAGCAGCCCAGUGGGAGUGCUUUCUCCCUCCCCUGUCUGGGGUAAAGCGGGGAGGAGGGGGCUCAUAUGAGGCAUGAGGGUUGCACUUUGGACACUUGGUCUCUAAAGGGUUUGCCAUCACUGAUACAGGGCGUAGGAUUAUGUGCUGGGGAAAAUAUUUGUUCCUAUUAUACCUUUGAAAUAAACGCUCCUUUGUAAAAACUAA